GCUUUGGCUGAACGUUAACACUAAAAUUGGAACAAUACCGAGAAGAUUGCAGAACAUGGCCCUGUGCAAGGAUGAUAUGUAAGCAUAGAAAAAACAUUUUUAAUUUUU